GAUGAACGCUAGCGGCAGGCUUAAUACAUGCAAGUCGAGGGGCAGCAUGACUGUAGCAAUACAGUUGAUGGCGACCGGCAAACGGGUGCGGAACACGUACAGAACCUUCCUUCGAGCGGGGAAUAGCCCAGAGAAAUUUGGAUUAAUACCCCAUAGUAUUACGGAGUGGCAUCACUUUGUAAUUAAAGAUUUAUCACUUGAAGAUGGCUGUGCGGCUGAUUAGGUAGUUGGCGGGGUAACGGCCCACCAAGCCUGCGAUCAGUAACUGGUGUGAGGGCACGACCAGUCACACGGGCACUGAGACACGGGCCCGACUCCUACGGGAGGCAGCAGUAAGGAAUAUUGGUCAAUGGACGAAAGUCUGAACCAGCCAUGCCGCGUGGAGGAUGAAGGUCCUCUGGAUUGUAAACCUCUUUUAUAUGGGACGAAAAAGGGUCUUUCUAGAUCAACUGACGGUACCAUAUGAAUAAGCACCGGCUAACUCCGUGCCAGCAGCCGCAGUAACAC
rnacentral:rRNA from 1 species